rnacentral:rRNA from 1 species
GCUGAAAGCAUCUAAGCGGGAAGCCGGCCUCAAGACCGCUCAUCCCCGGGGAUUCGGUCCCCCUGAAGGCCCCCCGAAGACUACGGGGUCGAUAGGCCGCAGGUGCAGGCGCGGCGACGCGCACAGCCGAGCGGUACUAACAGGCCGUGAGCCCUGGCCAU